UUUGGUUACACCUGGUGUUUUACCCUGUGUAACUGGUUUGGUUACACCUGGUGUUUUACCCUGUGUAACUGGUUUGGUUUCACCUAAAAAUCCUGUGUUCAUGGAAUGGUUAAUGGAACACUACAAAGUGGAUUGUGACAAAAAUGUGUAACAGAGGUUGAAACACCUAUACAUGGGUUUUAGUUGCUGAGUGUAAAUUCUUAACUUGGCUGUGGUGUAGCUUAAAUACAGUGUGUUCAAUCGGUUUUCAGAUGUGUUUUAAUGUUUAAGCGACUCUCCAGUAAUAUUUGGACAUAUUGAGAGGCUGAAUGAGGAAUUUAGAAGUGAUUUUUGCCCAGCUGAUAUAGAUGGGUCCAUCAAUGCAAUGACGCAAAUGACGCGACAAACAUAUAGCCUACUAAGAGAGAUGCUACGGGUAGAUUUUAUUGUGUACAUUGUCUUUAGCACCACUUGACCCUUGGUAGUAUGUUGUGACCUAUAACCUUUGACCUAUAAUGUGUGAUAAGAUUACACUAGCGAAAAAACAGACUUUUAUUUGUUGGUCCGGUUUCAUUCAAUCAAUAUGCUCUGUCGCCAAGAUUGUCUGAAUAUGACAAUAUUUUAAUGCUAUUUGCUAACAAGUUAUAUACAGUAAACCUAAUAAUCAAUAAGUAAAAAGGUAUUCAAUAUAUAAACGGAUCAUUUAGUUUUUUGGGGGGGAUUGUACGUUUUAUAAGUUGUAGUGCUAUUAUUUUGUAGGAUUUUUUUUAUUUUUUAACCACAGUUUUCCCCUUUGUCAGCCAACAGUUAUAUUUUUAUAGCCUACUGUUGGUACCAUUAUAUGACUAUAUGAAGUUUUAAGAUGAGGUUGGUUUAGUUUUAUCUGUUGACAAAAUUGUCUGAGGAAAAAAAAAAUGUAUUUCUCUUCCAAGUUCACUGCCUCACCUGUGGACUUUUUUUAUGGCUUUAAAACCUUUACAGGAAACUCUGAAGAGAAGGAAACUACUUAGUAUUUGUUACAUUUUCACUGAGAAGGCAGCUUUUAAGUUGUGGUGUCAUUUUGUGUUGUUUAAAGUGGAAUAAUUAGGACCCUCUCGCUUUGUGCUUGUUUACCUGAUUUCAUUGGGAAGACAAGAAAUGGAAAAUCCUCUUCCCACACUCGUCUUACUGCCAAUUUGUUUAAACACUCAAAGAGAAAGUGCAUUUACGCACUUAUUAGUCCUCUAAAUAUCAAUAAAUUGUUUCAUUUGAGGGAAACCUGUUUCUGCCCUGGAAAUGAAUUGAACAGAGGGAACUGCUCUGACUACCACGUCUAUUGUGUUUCCAAACAGGAAAUGGUUUAUCACUUUGAAUUGUUGCACAAGAGAAGUGAACCAAACACCUCUUUGCUGAUUGUUAGAGACUGAUCAUCGCCUGUGUGUGUUCUCUUAUACACACAUUUUUUAGGAGCUGUUGGUAAUCUGUUUAGCUAACAGGAGCUGUUCAGAAGUUGUUGCUAAUUAAUAGCAUACCUUUUGAACCCAGUACCUUUUUUUUUUUACCCCUCCAGGGCCGGGCUCCUCGUGUUAGUCCUACUGCCCUAGCAGGUGAACCCAGUACACAGUGGGGCAGGAAUCACAGGAUCAAUGGAGGAGCCUCCCACUGUGCCCACUGUGUCCGUGUCCUGCUGGUUUUCAACCACCAGCCCAUGUCCUGCUGCUCACCUGUGUGGAACAGUGGCAGGCUGACACACUAGUGCAGUAUGUGGGAGAAUGGAGCUGGAAUACAGUAGCAGCUCCUUUUCAUUUCAUUGUCCUCUACAAGGUUUGAGUCUUCACAGGCUGGAUUUGCAGCAUGCCCCCAUGCCUUUCACUGUUGUCCUCUACAAUGCUGGUCUGUUUGAGUUGACCACAGCCUGGGGUGUGUCUGUGGCUCCGCCUUGUCCACGGUUCCCUACACAAGCAGAGGUCCUGUCACCGGCUGCCACACAUAAUGCACCUCUUUGGGUGCAGUUUCUUAACUCGCACAGCAGCUCUACAGUACCACUGCAAGCUGUUGCACUGCUGAGGGAGUCACCUUGACCUGUGACCUUUUCCAAGUGACCUGUCAACAUCUCCCAGAAGAAUGAUUAUUUGUUGCCAUCAUAAUUUAGAUUUCUUCAGUUUAUGAUUUGACUCCCAUGUAUGCAGUGAAUGGAUGGAAGAUCGCCCCCUUGUCAUGAAUAGGAAUAUUGUUUAUUGUCGCUGUGGUUUUAUUGAUUGAAUCUUUUUCUUGAAAGAGGAUCAGGAGUAUGUUUGUUCUGCUACGGUUUCCCACGAUGACCGCAGAAUAACAUCCGACAUCAUCUACUUCACAUUUCACGUGAACAAGGGGAAUUUAAGCAGAAAAGAUCAACUCCUACCCAGUAUGAGUGCAUCACGGCCUCCCCCCAGUACAAGUGCAAUAAUAGCAGAGAUUAAAUCCCACCUGCCGUUGUUGCUGAGGAAAAAGACAUUGCCACUGGAGAAAUGACCUCUAGAGGAUCAUGGAGGAACUGCAGGACCAGAGGAGGCUGCUGUAACUACUGUAAGAGCCAUAGGUAGCCACUACACUACACUGAUGGCAUGGAGAGAGACAGCUUGUUGCUGUCACUCCCUGUUGGGGAAUAAGGAGUCUGCUGCCUGGCCUUUAUUAUAAGUCUGGAAGAAGCAGAGAUCAAAACAGAUGUGACAACAGAUUGCCCCAAGGCUGAGAUGGUAAGUUCCAGAUGAAAAUAUAUUGUGUAUAAAGGCAGAUGGAGGGGUUGCGGGUUCAAAUCCUGUGGCACGAUUGUAAAAAAAAAAAUAUGAGGAGCUGAACUGGAAACAAAAUGGCUGCAGGUAAAGACCCGAGACCAUCUGCCGUUGUGCCCAUGUGCAAGGCGCUGCAUUCUGGCUGACCCUGUGCCUCUCUACAUGUGUGUCUGGCAGGGAUGUGAAUGGACAAUAAAGCAUCUAUUCUGUUGUAUUAUAUUCUCUGCUUGUUCCCUGUAGAGUAUCUUGCCGCUGGACCGUCCAAGACACCUCGGACUGUAAGUACUGGGCUUAAUGAAAUACUUUAAAGUGGGGCGGCAGUUAGCCUAGUGGUUAGAGUGUUGGGCCGAUGACCGAAAGAUUGCUGGUUUGAAUACCUGAGCGGACGAGGUGAAAAAUCUGCCGAUGUUCCCUUGACCGAGGCACUUAACACUAAUUUGCUCCAGGGGUGCCAUGCUACUAUGACUGACCUUGUAAAACAACACAUUUCACUGCGCCGAUCCGGUGUAUGUGACAGUAAAACAUGUAGUUUUUAUUUUUAUACUGCUAUUCAGACAAAGUGUUACUCCCUAUAUAAUGGAAUCUUUCCAAACUCGGUGCUGUUGAUUUGAACAAUCCAAAUCCUGUUUACCCCUCUCUUUAAAUUUCCCAACGAGUAUUUAUUGUAUUUUAAAGCAAUUUAAUUUGAUAUCAUACGAGAUGAAAGAGAAUGUAAAUGUUACUUAUCAUAUUGGUCCGAUAUACAUUUGUUUUUGUAUUAUUCAUUCAUUCUUAAUAAAAAAAGUAAAUUUUUGUGCAAUUUCUUUGUGUGAGAAUUAUUUUUCUCCAGGUGUCCUGAAUAGAAGCAGAAAAGAAU